rnacentral:lncRNA from 1 species
AGAAAAUUGCAAUAAGGUGAGACCAUGGGAACCAGCCGUGAAAGAAGGUGCAAAGAGCAAAAGAAGAAAGAGAGGUGGAGGUGGAGGUGGAGGUGGAGGUGGAGGUGGUGGUGGAGGUGAAGCAGAGAGGUGGAGGCAAGACAGCGGAAAAAAAACUCCCAUCAGUGGGUCCAACAUAAAACACCUGAGCUCACUUGAUUUUCUUUUUAGGCCUCAACUGAAAUGCAAACAAAUA